rnacentral:rRNA from 1 species
CAAGGUUUCCGUAGGUGAACCUGCGGAAGGAUCAUUACAGAGUUCAUGCCCGAAAGGGUAGACCUCCCACCCUUGUGUAUUAUUACUUUGUUGCUUUGGCGAGCUGCUCUUCGGGGCCUUGUAUGCUCGCCAGAGAAUAUCAAAACUCUUUUUAUUAAUGUCGUCUGAGUACUAUAUAAUAGUUAAAACUUUCAACAACGGAUCUCUUGGUUCUGGCAUCGAUGAAGAACGCAGCGAAAUGCGAUAAGUAAUGUGAAUUGCAGAAUUCAGUGAAUCAUCGAAUCUUUGAACGCACAUUGCGCCCCUUGGUAUUCCGGGGGGCAUGCCUGUUCGAGCGUCAUUUCAACCCUCAAGCUCAGCUUGGUAUUGAGUCCAUGUCAGUAAUGGCAGGCUCUAAAAUCAGUGGCGGCGCGCUGGGUCCUGAACGUAGUAAUAUCUCUCGUUACAGGUUCUCGGUGUGCUUCUGCCAAAACCCAAAUUUUCUAUGGUUGACCUCGGAUCAGGUAGGGAUACCCGCUGAACUUAAGCAU